GACGAACGCUGGCGGCGUGCCUAAUACAUGCAAGUCGAACGCAGUGGGGACGGGUGAGUAACACGUGGGUAACCUCCCAUCAGAGGGGAUAACACUUGGAAACAGGUGCUAAACCGAUACUGAUGGAUGGACCCGCGGUGCAUUAGCUAGUUGGUGAGGUAACGGCUAACCAAGGCCACGAUGCAUAGACGAACUGAUAGGGUGUACACCCACACUGGGACUAGAACACGGCCCAGACUCCGACGGGAGGCAGCAGUAGGGAAGUUUCGGCAAUGGACGAAAGUCUGACCGAGCAACGCCGCGUGAGUGAAGAAGGUUUUCGGAUCGUAAAACUCUGUUGUUAGAGAAGCGGUAUCUAACCAGAAAGCCACGGCUAACUACGUGCCAGCCGCCGCGGUAAUU
rnacentral:rRNA from 1 species